rnacentral:rRNA from 1 species
AACGAACGCUGGCGGCAGGCUUAACACAUGCAAGUCGAGCGCCCCGCAAGGGGAGCGGCAGACGGGUGAGUAACACGUGGGGAUCUGCCCAAUGGUACGGAAUAGCUCCGGGAAACUGGAAAUAAUACCGUAUGUGCCCGCAAGGGGAAAGAUUUAUCGCCAUUGGAUGAACCCGCGUCGGAUUAGCUAGUUGGUGAGGUAAAGGCUCACCAAGGCGACGAUCCGUAGCUGGUCUGAGUGGAUGAUCAGCCACACUGGGACUGAGACACGGCCCAGACUCCUACGGGAGGCAGCAGUGGGGAAUAUUGGACAAUGGGCGCAAGCCUGAUCCAGCCAUGCCGCGUGAGUGAUGAAGGCCUUAGGGUUGUAAAGCUCUUUCGCCGACGAAGAUAAUGACGGUAGUCGGAGAAGAAGCCCCGGCUAACUUCGUGCCAGCCGCCGCCGUAAUAC